rnacentral:rRNA from 1 species
GAUGAACGCUGGCGGCGUGCCUAAUACAUGCAAGUCGAGCGAACAGACGAGGAGCUUGCUCCUCUGACGUUAGCGGCGGACGGGUGAGUAACACGUGGAUAACCUACCUAUAAGACUGGGAUAACUUCGGGAAACCGGAGCUAAUACCGGAUAAUAUAUUGAACCGCAUGGUUCAAUAGUGAAAGACGGUUUUGCUGUCACUUAUAGAUGGAUCCGCGCCGCAUUAGCUAGUUGGUAAGGUAACGGCUUACCAAGGCAACGAUGCGUAGCCGACCUGAGAGGAUGAUCGGCCACACUGGAACUGAGACACGGUCCAGACUCCUACGGGAGGCAGCAGUAGGGAAUCUUCCGCAAUGGGCGAAAGCCUGACGGAGCAACGCCGCGUGAGUGAUGAAGGUCUUCGGAUCGUAAAACUCUGUUAUUAGGGAAGAGCAAAUGUGUAAGUAACUAUGCACGUCUUGACGGUACCUAAUCAGAAAGCCACGGCUAACUACGUG